UUUUGUAAUAGUUGGACUUGCCUUCCUCGAUUCUUUUAAACAAAAGACACGGAAGUUAAUUAUUUCAACGUUGCUUAAAAUUUAGGUUAAAUUUUUCCUAAAUGUUGUUUCAUGUCGUGUUUUCAGGUCCACAUGAGUGAAAAGCGAAAAUCUGCAAGAAAAGAAGUCGGCCCCGUGAGUUUGGAGUUCGAAAUACCGAUGCAUAUCUGCUCCGGUCUUCAAAUCCGAUAUCUGCGCGUGCAGGAUCGCGAGAAAGCUUACAGCCCCUUCCGUUGGGUCCGUUACAUCACUCACAGCGAUUCCUACGUCAUUCGGAUUUAGAAGACUGAACAGGGAAAACUAAAGAAGUAAAAACAUACAAAGUGUUCGCUUCGUGUGUGGUCUAUGACGUCAUACAGGAGUGACGUCAUGAACUAGGAGCACGAGUACGCCUGGGCACUAGGCAAUAUCUUUCAAAGACUUAAAGAACCAAGACAAGUUCAUGAUAAUUACUGAAGUGAUAGCCGUGAAGUGGCAAGAAACAGAAACCUACUAAAUACACCCUGCGGUGAACACAAAAUAUUUAGUUUUUGGUGACCAGGAAUAUGCGAGUAACUGAAAAAACAAUUAAUCUUAUACUUUAUGUCCCGGUUAUUUCCUCGGAUGAAUACAAGGUCAUGGUGUUAUUAAAUCACUUCUCUAGAUUUGCAA